AGUGAACGCUGGCGGUAGGCCUAACACAUGCAAGUCGAACGGCAGCACAGUAAGAGCUUGCUCUUACGGGUGGCGAGUGGCGGACGGGUGAGGAAUACAUCGGAAUCUACUUUUUCGUGGGGAAUAACGUAGGGAAACUUACGCUAAUACCGCGUACGACCUACGGGUGAAAGCAGGGGAUCUUCGGACCUUGCGCGAUUGAAUGAGCCGAUGUCGGAUUAGCUAGUUGGCGGGGUAAAGGCCCACCAAGGCGACGAUCCGUAGCUGGUCUGAGAGGAUGAUCAGCCACACUGGAACUGAGACACGGUCCAGACUCCUACGGGAGGCAGCAGUGGGGAAUAUUGGACAAUGGGCGCAAGCCUGAUCCAGCCAUACCGCGUGGGUGAAGAAGGCCUUCGGGUUGUAAAGCCCUUUUGUUGGGAAAGAAAAGCAGCAGGUUAAUACCCCGCUGUUCUGACGGUACCCAAAGAAUAAGCACCGGCUAACUUCGUG
rnacentral:rRNA from 1 species